rnacentral:lncRNA from 1 species
AGCCACGAGACCAACUCUAGUCCAGCUAACUAGGCUGAGAACGAUCACCCACGGCACCAUGACCCGAAGGCCAGCCAUAAACUGGAAAAGACAUAAACUACUGAGAAAUCAUUCUUUCAACUCUCAAGCAAUUCAUAGGCAUCUGAGUUAAACAGAAACAAUUGGACUUUGCAUUGGGUAGGGGCUGCACGAACACAGGCUCCCACUGCCACAAAUUAUGAUGUAGGCUCGGCCACUUGGACCGGCCUUAGGAGUCUGUCAGACAGUCACGAGACAAUCAUCACCGAGUGGGCUAUGGUGGGGUUACUAAUCACGCUCUAGUCUCACAGCCACGCGAUCAUCCACCCUACUUGGUUUCCUGUCUCCUUAGAACUCAAGGAUACCGUGCUACGAGCCUAUACAACAGAUCCUGUUCAUGUAAGGUCGCGCCCGUCCAAGUUGCUGUGAUGUUAUAUAAAAGACUACCUUCCCUAACUAACCAAGUCGAUGACUAUAGCAACAAAAGCUGUGAUUUCGUAUUAGAUGCCUUUAUUUUUUAAGGUUAGUACACAAUUGAUUCACAUGAAUUAUAUUAUUUGAAAGAUUAUUAGUUUGGGUCAUGUAUUCUAAAGUUUCUUCUUAAGAGAUACAUAAGAGUGAUUGCCAUUGGAAGAGAGAGGCUCUUGAGAAAGUGGGCACAAAGCAAUUCAUUAGCCCAUAAUUUAGACCACCAGAGUAAUACUUGUUAGACCUUGAAUUGGGGUAGGGGCCGCGCCAUGAGACUAGAACGUGAUUAACCGGCCUCCAUGGCCUUUGGGUCAUGGUGUCAUAGAUGAUCGUUCUCGGCUUGGUUUGCUGGGCUUGAGCUACUGCGACAAAUAGGUACAGUGCUAUGGAAGUCACCAAAGAAAGUAACUUCGGAGAGAAAACGGGUAAACAUCGAUUCUGAGAAUUGAGCUCUAGCAAAAAAUUUUGGUAGUAGUCUGUCAGACAGCCACGAGACCACCUCAAGCCCAGCGAACCAAGCUGAGAACGAUCAUCUACAACACCAUGACCCAAAGGUAAUGGAGGCCAGUUAAUCACGCUCUAGUCUCAUGGCUUCAAUUCAUCCACCAGACUUAGUUUCCUGUCUCCUUAGAAGUCAAGGAUACAGUGGUACGAGCCUAUAGAACAGAUCCUGUUCAAGUAAGGUCGUGCCCAUCUGAGUUGCUGCAACAACAUAUAAACACUUGGCUGCCUCGCUAGCUUAUCGAUGUGGGACACGAGGUGGG